rnacentral:rRNA from 1 species
ACGGAAGGCAGCAGUGGGGAAUAUUGGGCAAUGGGGGAAACCCUGACCCAGCAACGCCGCGUGAAGGAAGGAGGCCUUCGGGUUGUAAACUUCUUUUAGAUGGGACGAAGAAGAUGACGGUACCAUCAGAAAAAGCAACGGCUAACUACGUGCCAGCAGCCGCGGUAAUACGUAGGUUGCAAGCGUUGUCCGGAUUUACUGGGUGUAAAGGGCGUGUAGGCGGAGCUGCAAGUCAGAUGUGAAAUCCCGGGGCUCAACCCCGGAACUGCAUUUGAAACUGUAGCCCUUGAGUAUCGGAGAGGCAAGCGGAAUUCCUAGUGUAGCGGUGAAAUGCGUAGAUAUUAGGAGGAACACCGGCGGCGAAGGCGGCUUGCUGGACAGAUACUGACGCUGAGGUGCGAAAGCGUGGGGAGCAAACAGGAUAAGAUACCCUGGUA